rnacentral:rRNA from 1 species
UACGAAGGGGGCUAGCGUUGUUCGGAUUUACUGGGCGUAAAGCGCACGUAGGCGGGUUGUUAAGUCAGGGGUGAAAUCCUGGAGCUCAACUCCAGAACUGCCUUUGAUACUGGCAACCUAGAGGCUGGAAGAGGUUAGUGGAAUUCCCAGUGUAGAGGUGAAAUUCGUAGAUAUUGGGAAGAAUACCAGUGGCGAAGGCGGCCAACUGGCCCGAUACUGACGCUGAGGCGCGAAAGCGUGGGGAGCAAACAGG